AUACAUGCAAGUCGAGCGGACAGAUGGGAGCUUGCUCCCUGAUGUUAGCGGCGGACGGGUGAGUAACACGUGGGUAACCUGCCUGUAAGACUGGGAUAACUCCGGGAAACCGGGGCUAAUACCGGAUGCUUGUUUGAACCGCAUGGUUCAAACAUAAAAGGUGGCUUCGGCUACCACUUACAGAUGGACCCGCGGCGCAUUAGCUAGUUGGUGAGGUAAUGGCUCACCAAGGCGACGAUGCGUAGCCGACCUGAGAGGGUGAUCGGCCACACUGGGACUGAGACACGGCCCAGACUCCUACGGGAGGCAGCAGUAGGGAAUCUUCCGCAAUGGACGAAAGUCUGACGGAGCAACGCCGCGUGAGUGAUGAAGGUUUUCGGAUCGUAAAGCUCUGUUGUUAGGGAAGAACAAGUACCGUUCGAAUAGGGCGGUACCUUGACGGUACCUAACCAGAAAGCCACGGCUAACUACGUGCCAGCAGCCGCGGUAAUACGUAGGUGGCAAGCGUUGUCCGGAAUUAUUGGGCGUAAAGGGCUCGCAGGCGGUUUCUUAAGUCUGAUGUGAAAGCCCCCGGCUCAACCGGGGAGGGUCAUUGGAAACUGGGGAACUUGAGUGCAGAAGAGGAGAGUGGAAUUCCACGUGUAGCGGUGAAAUGCGUAGAGAUGUGGAGGAACACCAGUGGCGAAGGCGACUCUCUGGUCUGUAACUGACGCUGAGGAGCGAAAGCGUGGGGAGCGAACAGGAUUAGAUACCCUGGUAGUCCACGCCGUAAACGAUGAGUGCUAAGUGUUAGGGGGUUUCCGCCCCUUAGUGCUGCAGCUAACGCAUUAAGCACUCCGCCUGGGGAGUACGGUCGCAAGACUGAAACUCAAAGGAAUUGACGGGGGCCCGCACAAGCGGUGGAGCAUGUGGGUUUAAUUCGAAGCAACGCGAAGAACCUUACCAGGUCUUGACAUCCUCUGACAAUCCUAGAGAUAGGACGUCCCCUUCGGGGGCAGAGUGACAGGUGGUGCAUGGUUGUCGUCAGCUCGUGUCGUGAGAUGUUGGGUUAAGUCCCGCAACGAGCGCAACCCUUGAUCUUAGUUGCCAGCAUUCAGUUGGGCACUCUAAGGUGACUGCCGGUGACAAACCGGAGGAAGGUGGGGAUGACGUCAAAUCAUCAUGCCCCUUAUGACCUGGGCUACACACGUGCUACAAUGGACAGAACAAAGGGCAGCGAAACCGCGAGGUUAAGCCAAUCCCACAAAUCUGUUCUCAGUUCGGAUCGCAGUCUGCAACUCGACUGCGUGAAGCUGGAAUCGCUAGUAAUCGCGGAUCAGCAUGCCGCGGUGAAUACGUUCCCGGGCCUUGUACACACCGCCCGUCACACCACGAGAGUUUGUAACACCCGAAGUCGGUGAGGUAACCUUUUAGGAGCCAGCCGCCGAAG
rnacentral:rRNA from 2 species